UAAUCACAAAAGAGAUAAUCACAAAGAUCGAAGAAGCUGCAAAGCCGCUUGGCUUUGAUGUUCAGAAGAAAAAAUACAAGAUGCGGAUGGAGAACCCGAAAGUAGGUAGAAAGGGCAAUCUGAAUGUUGCAACUGAGGUAGCUGAAAACAUCAACUUGACAAAUAUCAAGAUUGCUGAAGCAUCGAAAGAGAAUAACUCAAUUCCUUUCUGUUUGUGCAUGCCAACUCUUAGGUCUUCCAAAUAGCCCCAUCCCUACAUGUAGUCGAGCUAAAGAAGGCGAAGGGGGACACUCUGAGUUCCAAAAGUUCUACAGAAGCCUGUCGACCCAGCUGAAGGAUGUUGUGUGGAAGUGCGACAGCGAGGUGGGCGGCAACAGCACGGCAGCAUGAAAGCGCCCUUUGAACUUUCCACUGGACGGCACCAGUUUUCCUUUGUACAUAGCUUCUCUUUCGUAUGAUCAUGUGUCCAUUGCAGAGUCAGUUUUGCAACAAGUUCUUUGGUUUAUUUGUUGACGGCGAGUAAGCCCGGUGAAACAACCGCCCUGGAGGCUGUUGUGGAUGAGCUUACUGGCGUGUUUAGUUCGUUUCACGAUCGGGAGGUUGAAUGGAAUGGGAACCACAAUCAAGGAUGUAGUAGUUUGUGUAGUAACGAGGUAUCGAGGUAGAUACAUCAGAUGGUGUAAGGGAGUACCAGCUGUUAGUUCAUGGCUUCAAGCUUAGCCCCCCUUCAAUUUGUUUGAUGAUGUAUUACUUCACAAUAAACAUUAUUACUUAGAUGUAUGAGGUGAGCACACUUGGUCUUUUGUCCUCUUUGUGCUAUUUUGCGUGAUAAUUGAAUUUUAGCAGGGGCGGAUUCAGGUGGUUG